UCCGUAGGUGAACGUGCGGAAGGAUCAUUA
rnacentral:rRNA from 1 species